UACGGAGGAUCCAAGCGUUAUCCGGAAUCAUUGGGUUUAAAGGGUCCGGUAGGCGGUUUAAUAAGUCAGUGGUGAAAGCCCAUCGCUCAACGGUGGAACGGCCAUUGAUACUGUUAGACUUGAAUUAUUAGGAAGUAACUAGAAUAUGGUAGUGUAGCGGUGAAAUGCUUAGAGAUUACAUGGAAUACCAAUUGCGAAGGCAGGUUACUACUAAUGGAUUGACGC
rnacentral:rRNA from 1 species